CUUCCCAGACCAGGGCUCGAACUCGUGUGCCCUGCAUUAGCAGGCAGAUUCUCAACCACUGCACUACCAGGGAAGCCCAGAUCUGGAGUUUUGAGUCCCUGUUUGCCUGGUCCCAAAGCCCAGCCCCUGCUUCCCCUACCCCAUCUCAUGGGCUCUCCAGCUGCAACUAUGGUCCACCAGCUCUGCUGUUCACCGUCUCUCCAGCUCAUCCCCUGCCUCACAGCACUUCCUGAGGGAUGCUGGUCUCCUGCCCGCCUUCUAACCCUGCGCUUAGAGAGGUCCAGCCCGUUAUCUGAUUCCUGGUUAAUACCUUUCCUGAUCUCUCACAUUUUCAAAGUAGAAGUUCUUCUCAUGCUGCUGAAUGUAUAUGGAUGUAUCUACCUUGACUUCAACCAUGAGCUUCUUCCGGAAGAAAUCUCGCCUUACUCGUCCUGGGAAUCCUAGUGAUUAAACAACAGCUGGACUAAGAUGUUGUCAUAGUUUAAAAGGCAACGAAAGGAAGCACCAUGUAGUGAGAUGAGAUGCAGACCACUCAGCUGGAGGCUUAAUUUCAAGGUCAUCUCGUGCAGGGAGAAUAAAAUAUCUACCAAAAACUUAAAAUGUUCCUGCCCUUCAGGGAAAAGAGGGAGAAGACCUUGACCGUGAUCACUUGGCCGUGUGAUUGUAUUUGAACGUCCCUGAGGCUGUAUUCAUUCAGUUCUCCACACCUGGUUCCCCCAGUGCCCUCCACUGAACUCAAAUGUCUAAAGUCCACAGUGAGAAGUGCAGCAGCUGAUGACACACGUGGUCCCCCCUCACCUCACACUGGUUAGAAAUACAGCUCUCAGCUAUCACUUUAUCUACCCCUGGGAAAGCCCUACCUCUAUGUAGCUUGUGGCCAAUUCUCCUUCAGACCACCCUGGAGGUUCAGAAUUGGGCCAACGGGGCAGAGUCUGGGUACUGAGUGCUGAAAGGUGUGGCCUCCGGUGUGGCCAGCAUCAGAGCAGUCCCGAGAUAGAAAGGGGCUGCUACUAUGACGCCAGCUUGCGGAGGGGCAGAUACCAGGGAAAGCAGCCCCUGAUGCAAAGACACACGGCUCUGAGGGGCUAAGAAGGUCCUGAAGAAAGGGCAUGAGCACAAGGAGGGAGCCCCCUGGCCUGGUCCGUCCUCCCCACCACUUGCACCUGGGGCGGUGAUGUCACCGCCUUGCCCUCCAGUGCCCUCACAGGGGCAGCUGCUCUGGUGGUUUCUCCCAGACUCCGACUUGGAGGGGCAGACGCAUGGGAGGAGCCGUUUUUGUAUAAAGCUGUAACGUUGUGAGGACAGGGGGACCACAGUGAUUCAACCCUACGGGAAUCCUUUACAAAAACCUUUCUGCCUGUCCCAAUUCCCACCGUCCUUCCAUUCUUCUCCCGGGUCACAGGCCCAAGGGUGGUUUGGGUCAGAAUGUCUCCACCUUCCUCCCGUCCACCUGUCAAGCCCAGGCCAUGGAGAAGCACAGGCCUGGAUCAGAGCUGAAGCUUGCAGGCAGAAAGGCCAGACAUAAGAAGAUGCCUCUGUGGCCUCAUGGGUGAAGGCCUCAGAGAGACCCCUUUAUCCCACCCUCCUCCUCCCCCCACCCAAGGACAAGGUCAAUGGGAAGGUACAUGGGAGGUGACCGUUCUAUGAAGGAAGAAGCCAGCACUACCCAGCCCUCCGGGGACAGUCACGGGUCUCUGGGACCCUGCCCUCCUCGCCAGGCCCACAUCCUUCUGAUGGACCCUCAGGAAGAAUCAAAAAAACAGGGCACAGGGCUCUCUGGAUGGACUCUGCCCAUGCUCCGUGGCCCCAAGAGUCAAAAGUCGAAAACACUCUUCUGUACGAUAUCUGUAGAGCACAGGAGGGGAUUCCUAGUCCCAGAGUCCACCAGGCACCAACCAAAAUCCCCUCCUCUCUGCACUCCUCGCGUUUGCUUUCCUCCUUACUCCGCGUCACUGGGCAAACACUGAAGUCUUCUUCGGAGAAGGCACCAGGCUCACGGUCGUAGGUAAGACAUAAUCCAGGCCUUUCCUGGCCCCUUGUAGGGGAAGGCGGGUCCCAAGUGUGCAUUGUAAGGCGGCUGUAUUCUGAUGUGCUAUGACUAUACCUUCGGCCCAGGGACCAAGCUGACUGUUGUAGAAUCCCAGCAGACAAGGAGAGGUUUUGAAGUGAAUCUGGGAGGCUGUGCUUUGCAGACACCUACUAUUUUGGGGAAGGAAGCCGGCUCACUGUCAUAGGUAAGCUAGUCAGGGCUGGAGGGCUGGGAACCUACAGGGAGGGGCAGGGUCCAGGUGGAGCCUCCGAUAGGGGUGCCUAGGUUAAAGCGUGUUUUUAUCAGAAAAAUCUGAAUUCUCGUCUUGAUGAAUUCUUAUCUUGAUGAGAUGGACAGCCUCCACCUCCAAUAGUUUCAUAGGCUCGCUGUGCCAAGCCUGGGUCUCCCUACCGAGAGGCAAGGAGUCUCAGCUGGAAAGGGGUCUCCGUGUCCAUCUUCCGUCUCCUUGGAGGGUGCCCAUCAUGGCCACGGUAGAUGGGAGGGCUUCUGGCCUUGGAUCCGUCAGUCCUGCCGUUUCUCUCCCUCGCGAAGAAAGGAGACGGACACAGGAGAGGGGGGUGAGAAGUCUCACAGGGGGCCAAACUGGUCCUCUGACCGCAGCUUUUCGGGUUGUACAGUUGUCACCAGUUCCACCUCCGGGGGUUAAAAUUCCGCCAAGGAAGGGGACAGGAGAGCUGCAGGUGGACCGGCAGAGGGGUGGGGAAAGAGUGGGAGGCGCAGGCACAGUUUCCCUACCGGGCUUUCGUGUUCUGCGACUAAUGAAAGCCUGUAUUUUGGCAGCGGAACGAAGCUUUCUGGGCUAGGUAAGUAAAGGUCUUCCCUGGGAAUGAUGUAUUGUAAGGCUGGAGUUCUAGAAUUUCCCUUUAGAGAAGGCAGGGACUGAGAACACAGCAGAGAAAAGGCGGAGAGUGGGUGAGUGGAGAAGGUGCUAGGACCCCCAGAAGUUCUGGGGAGAAGCUCGUUUCUGGAAAGAAGGGCCCCAUACCGGCCGCUCUGGGGUUUGCCACGCCCGUGUUAUACUGUGGAGCAACCGGGGGCAGCACUUUGGAGGUGGGACUCGACUCCCUGUCCUGGGUAAGACAUAAGAGCUGGGAGACGGGGGCCACUGUCCCUUGGACCCGGAGUGUCUACCCCUCCGUCCAGCCCCGGUGGGAGAGGGUUGAGUAAACCCCGGUCCCUGUGGGGCUUCCGGGGAGCUGCGUCUGCCAUCGCUUUAGAUGAGGCUGGGUCGAUUCCUGUUUGUCCUCUAAGUCUUCGGCCCAUAAACUGCUUCCUUACUCUUCUGUCGGUGGUCCAUCCCUCCUUCUUCUGUGCGUGGAUCGGCCCCUCCUAAGUCUCUUCAUCUUUCCCCUCUUUCCCCAGAGUGUGCUUAGGCCUUUCUCCUAGUGGGAUCCCUUUGGUCCUGAGCCGUGAAUCCAGGCAGGGAAAGGUGGCCAUCUCUGCCCUCAAGGAGCUAAGACUAGCGCUCUGGCUGGAGACCUCUGGGGGGGUUUUCCUACAGCCUCCUGCAGCUGUGUUCCUAUAAUUCACCCCUCCACUUUGGGACCGGCACCAGGCUCACCGUGACAGGUAUCAGACAGGGAGGGAGGUGGAAGGAGGGGGCCAGAGCUGCCCUUUCCUUCCGGAGCAUUUCCAGCUCGCUCCGCUGUGUCGGCCGAGGGCUCAGAGGAGCUGUGCUUCUGUGCUUCGCCUCCUGGCUUUGUGUUUUCUCGUUCUCCUUCUCGUUGUUCUCCAAGACUCCCCUCCUCUCUCCCGAUUUAGCGGGUGUGCUGCUUCACUUUCCCCUUCUCAUCUGAUCUUCUCCAUUUCCCCCCCUCCUUCUAACUCUGAUCCUGCACUGGUGACCCCGUUUUGGGGAACAGCUCCGUCUUCUAUGUUAAAAUCCACCUCCAACACCUCCCUCCAGCUCAGAGCCCUGUCCUCGCCUUCCUUGAGUCCUUCUCUGUCUCCAAGAUCCAUGUGUGUCUUCCUGAGGUGGUUUAAGGACCCAGGAGGCCAUAGGGGAGCAGCUUGGUGAGACUGAGAGGGCUUGAGGGGGACUCCUGAGCCCUGAAGGCCGAGGUCCAUGUCACGGCAUCAUGUGAGCUUGCAGGGGUGGCCCUGGGGAACAUUGUGCUUGCUGGGGGUCAGAGGAGGUAGGUCUGAAUAAACUGUUACAACUGGAAACUUAUACCAUCUUAGCAACAGCCAAAGCAGAAAGAAGAGAAGCAGGUUGAGGCCCCGUGCUCUCAAACCUCAGGAUCUGUGCUGAGAUCAGCGAGUCACAGGCCCAUCGUGAAACGCUAACACACCAUCACCACCCUCUGGAGGAAGCAGGCAGGUGGGAGAAGCAGGGCGAGGGUGAGAUGGGCCUGGGCUGGAGUUAUAGACACGGCCAGAGCAGCGGGCCACAGAGGUUCUACCAGGCUGGUUGGCUGCGGCAGGCUUUGUCCUGCAGAGGGAAGCACGUGCCAGGGAGUGUCAUGGAAAUUGGAAAGUACAAAUCACUGGGAUUCAAAAUGCCUGGGUUCUGGGGAAGGAGGGGCUCACGCAAUUUGCAAAGUGACCUAAACUGUCUCAGGCCCUCUGAGAUGUAUAAAACAGAGAUGACAAUGGUAGUCUCUUGGGGUCCUGAAACUGUAAGGGACUAAAUCACGUGAAAAUCCUUUGUAAAGGGUUUACCCUCUUGUAGCCAUCCUUUUCAUUCUUAUUGUUUAUCCUCACUGUGUCACAGAGUAUGCCUUUUUCCAAACCUGUGUCUCAAUUUUGCCAUUAGAAAUAUUUCUCAAACUUCGAUAAAGUGGAGACAUCUGGGUUUGCCAUACUUCUGCUCAUUCCUAGAACAGAGCCAAACAGAGGGCACGGUACCUUCUGGCAACAAGGAGGGUGCUUGAAAGGUAGACGUGUUUUUUUCCCAUUCCUCCAUGUCUUCACGUGAGGGCCUGCCUUCCGACAAUUCCAGAGAUUCUCUCCCUUCUGUCAGGCACAUCAAAGAGCCUGGGACUUUAUCAUAUGAACCCUCUGACGAACUGGCCCUCGGACUUUGGGAUUUGUUCGUUUCCAAGUUUUUGCUGCCUUUAUGAAUAUAAAACGUGGCUGGAGCUAGGAUUCAAAAGCGGGGAGAGAGGUUUGCUGGGCACUGGAAAUAAGAAAGGGUUCAACCCAUGAACAUUUCCUUUCAUGGGAUUCCAGCCAUCCUCGACACCCUGAGCGCCCUGGUGUAGCAGUCGGUGUGGAACAUCAGAUAGGACAAUAGCCAGAGGCACGGGGGCUCCACAAAGCAGGUUGCAUAAAAAUCAAAACAAAAGGUGAGUUGGGUAGAGUAUAGAGAAAAGAAUGUCAGAUGCAACGGGAAAAGUAUCUCUUCUGGGGAAGAAUGUCUAAUUCUAAUUCAUAGGUGCUGUCACUCAAACAGAUAAGCACGUACACCCUGCAAAAAGCAGGAAAAUGAUCAUUGGAAAAAGUCAGUUUAGUUCUCAGGAUCAUGCUGCUAGUAGGAAUCCUCUGCCUCAAAAUCCAGGCUUAUUUCAACUCUACUGUAAUUGCUUCUAAGUCUGAAAAGUUAGCCAUGCACCAAAGAGGGAUUUAAACUAGGAAGAAAAUAGAUAUACUCAUUCGAUGGCUAAUCCUACAGGGCUUUUCAAACACGGCCAAGAAAAUCAGGGUAUAAUGCCACCUUAGGGACUCGUGGGAGGCAGUCAGUAGCGAGUGCCCGUUGAGGGGAGAGAGAAGGGGCAAGGAUGAGGGAGACUAACAGCAGGGAAUGCGGAUGGGGACGCCCAAACGAAUCACCCCUGCCUCUCCCUGCUCCACACUAAGCUUCCCAGGAACGUGGAGCAUCAAAACGUUAAAGAGGGAUAAUCAUAAAACUUCUCACAAAACUUGCCCUUUGACAAAGCACUUGCAGGUGUGUAAUUUGUUAAGCACUCACAACAGCGCUGUGGGGAAGAUAUUACCCCAUUUUUCAGUUGCAGAAACGAAGGCCAGGGAGGUUGCAGGUCACAGAAGUAGUAAGAGGCAGGGUCUAGCCUGGAACACUUCCCCAUCCAGCAAAAUCUCCAUCACAAAUACCCCUUCCAAUUUCACAACCACUGUAAAUCCCCAAGCCAAGCUCAUUGUCUGCAAAUGGGGGAUGACCUCAGGCAGGGCCCAGAUUUCUGUGUCCAGCUAGUUCUGAAGAGAGGUGGGAAGAGAGAAGCCAGGGAGAAGGAGGGUGGCCCCAGUCUGUGGCAGGGGAGGAGGGGAAGAGGGAGGAAUUCUUGGUAGCCCCUUCCCACUGUGCUCCUACAGUGAGCAGUACU